CCUACGGGUGGCAGCAGUGGGGAAUAUUGGACAAUGGGGGCAACCAUGAUCCAGCCAUGCCGCGUGUGUGAAGAAGGCCCUCGGGUUGUAAAGCACUUUCAGUGAGGAAGAACGCCUGGUGGUUAAUACCCAUCAGGAAAGACAUCACUCACAGAAGAAGCACCGGCUAACUCCGUGCCAGCAGCCGCGGUAAUACGGAGGGUGCGAGCGUUAAUCGGAAUUACUGGGCGUAAAGCGCGCGUAGGUGGCUUGAUAAGCCGGUUGUGAAAGCCCCGGGCUCAACCUGGGAACGGCAUCCGGAACUGUCAAGCUAGAGUGCAGGAGAGGAAGGUAGAAUUCCCGGUGUAGCGGUGAAAUGCGUAGAGAUCGGGAGGAAUACCAGUGGCGAAGGCGGCCUUCUGGACUGACACUGACACUGAGGUGCGAAAGCGUGGGUAGCAAACAGGAUUAGAUACCCUUGUAGUC
rnacentral:rRNA from 1 species